GCGGGGCUUGGGUAGGGCCUCUCGCGGUCGGCGGGCGCGCAAAGCCACGGCCGGUGCUGUACGAAAGGCUCCUUCGGCGUCUGCAGGGAACAGCGGAAGUCAGCCGGAAGGUGCAGUACGAGCGGGACGGAAAGAAAGAGAAUUUAAUUCGCUGAGGAUCCUUUUAUUUGUCGGGGUACACUGGUUUGAAACACAGCAAUCAUCUUGUCUCGGUCUCCUGAGUGCUGGAAUUACAGGUAUGAAUCGCUACGUCCAGCAUAGUUCUCAUAAGAAAUUUGAAAUAUGAGAUGUUAAUGACUAAGUGCGCCACACACAUAACCUCAGAAUGACUUCAGCACCUGUGGGCUCCAGCAAAAUGACUCUGAUUCACUCAUCUCUACUUAACAUCUUGAUUCCCUAAUAUUAGCAGAUUUAGAAAAUGUACAACUAUUCUAGAGCUUUAAAUUUUAGUGUAUAAGAAUGAAUUAGAGAAGAAAAACUACCAUUGUCAUCCUAUAGUCUUAGCUUUCCAGGGAUUUUUAGCAUGCUUGUCUAGGAAUUACAGGAAUAGAAAUAUUAGUCUCUAUCCUUGAGAUAUGGUCAGCCAUCCUUAUCUCUCAGCAUCAUCAGAAGUGUGGGCAGAUUGUGCUGAGCACUGUGGACUGGCAAAUUGUUUACACUGAUCAAGAAAUAAUUAUCAGGCAUUUUGAGGGCAAAAAGUAAAUAAGGAAGUUAAAUGAGAAGACUGUAAAAACUGUUAGCAUGAGGAAAUAUAGAAAACAGCUGAAGUUGAUUAAAAUCUUUCCAGAAACUAGGUUGUAGUGAUACUCCCCUGUAAUCCCAGAACUCAGAUCCUGAAGCAGAAAGAUUCCAAAUUCAAACCUAGCCCAGGCAACUUAGUGAUUAGCGAAGUCCUAUCUCAAAAUUUAAAAAGGACUGUGGACAGGGCUCACUGCAAAGACUGGGCUUACUCCUCAGUACUGCAACAAAGAAAAGAAUAGAACUACAAAAUUGAAUAAUCUGAGAAAUGGUUAUCUGGCUAUCUGAUUUAAUCUUAGUAGGAUGGAGGAGGGGAAAUAUCGAGGCAGUGAAACCUGACUCCAAAUAAAAAGAUUAUGGUGAACUCAUACAAAUUCCUAGGGGAAAAAAAACUAGUAAAAGCUAAGUGGAGGAAAGGAUACAUUAUCUAUUUAGUAUUUACAAGAGAUAAAAUUCUAAACUGGGUAUGGUGGCACACACCUAUAAUCUCACCAUUUUGGAGGCUCAGACUGGAGGAUCACUUGAGUGUUGUAAACCAGCCUGGGCUACAUAGUUAGACUCUGUCUCAAAAAACAAAAAGAGGAAAGAAAAAAAAAAGAAAUGCUAUCUAUUGGAAAAUAUUGAAAAAUAAUCAAUUUAUAGGGUUUUUUUUUUUUUUUUUUUUUUGGCGGUAUACACUGGCCCUUCACACUGAGCUAUAUCCCAAACGUGUUCAUUCCUUUUUUCUACUUUUUUAUUGGUUAUACAGACUAACAGUUUUUUUCUGGCAGAUUUGGAUAUGCACAUAUUUGAUCAUCAUUUUUACACAUAUACUGCUGGCAGCCCCUUGCUCUGCUCCCCACUGUCAUAUUUGGGGGGAGAUGUCAGUAUGCAUAGUUUUGCUUAUCUUUUUCUCCCUUAUUACCCAUUCUUACCUCCUGCUGCCCCUUCUUACUGCUUUCUUGUCUAACCCCUGCCUGUGUUUGUCUUGUAUUUUGAUACCUGUUUCUCACUAGAACACCAAGUUUCCCAGGCUGGGUUCAAACAUGAGGACCUCAAGCCUCACCUCCCCCAGUGCUGAGAUCACAAGUGUGCACCAGCACUCCUGGCCAUUGGCUUCUGAUUUUGAUUACCACUGAUGUAAACACAACAAAAUCAUUUCCACUUACAUAUUUUAAAAAGCUUUCUUUUAUACCAUUUUUAGUGCUGCUGCUGAGGGUUUGGUAAAAGAUGUUUAUAAAUACAUUGCUGGGACAUAGCAUAUAGAAGAAUCAUAUAUAUCCUUAAAAGAAUUUGGCAUUUCAAACUAAAAACCUCAAGCAGUCAUGUCUUUAAACAGAAGUUCCUUUUUUUUUUUUUUUUUUUAGUCAAGGUCUUGCUAUGUAAUACAGACUGGCCUUGGAAAUCACAGCGAUCCUGCCUCAGCCUCCUGAGUGCAGGAUUACAGGCAUGCUAAAAGUUCUAUUUCUGAGCAUACACACUAACAAAACAAUUCUCCACAUGUAAACAUAGCCAAAUUUUUAUACCAUUUUUAAGAAGCAAACAAAGAAUGAACAUUUAAGAAUCUGACAAUAAGAGAACAAAUUUGAUCCAUAUCUUAUAGAACAGAGGUCAGGAAAUGUAGUCCUGCUGGCCAAAGUCAGUCUGCUAACUAUUUUUUAUCAACCUUUAGGCCAAGAAUUUUUUUUAUAUUUUUAAGUGGUGGGAGGGGAUUAAAAAAACUAUUAUGUGACAUAAAAAUUCACACUUUGUCACCCACUCCUCCAUGUGACAUCCAUAGCUGUCUGCACUGCAGAGGUACAGGUACAGACCCUGUGGCCCACAGAGCCUCGGGCAGAAAAAGUCUGCAAAACACCCCUUUGAACACCAUUCAGCCACAGAAAGCCUUCACAUGAGAGUCUUAAUAAUCAGGUUGUAUGUAUUAUUUAUAUUGGUUAGUAAAAAGGCAGGAUAUAAGGUGUGUAUAUGAAAAAAACAUAAAAUGUCUCAAGAAUUAGGAUUUUCAUUUUUCCAGUAUUACAUAUUAGCAAGAAUGUAACUGCCAAACAGUGAACAAUACUGUUUAAAAGGAAAAGAAAAGCAGGUAGCUAUUGAAUUUUAUGAAAGUAAAAAAAAAGAAAUUUAGAACUUACCUGUCAGUACAACUUUUCCAGAUACAAAGAUAAGCAACACAAUUCGUGGCUUUACCAUUCUAUAAAUAAGGCCAGGAAACAGUUCUGGUUCAUAACUUUUAAGACAAAAAAGGAAAAAGUUAAAAAUAGCACUAUUCAUCUUUUUCCAAAAUCCAAGACCCAGUAUAUUAUCAAAACUCUUAGCUACCUUGAUGAAAAAUAGUGCUGAGAGUGGAUACUUGUUUAUCACUUAUUGCUUAGCAUGGAACCCAGAGCCUCAUAGCACUCUACCACUAAGUUACAUUCUGAGCUCUGAAUGCAGACUGUGGCAGUGAAGAAUAGCUUUUGGUUAUAAAAAUUUUGAUUUGCAGGCCAAUCUAGGCUACUAGAAACGGAGGUAAUCUUGGUCAUCAGAUUUGAUGUAUUUUGAUCUUGCUGGUUUAAUGUUCUCCAUCUUUGAUCAAAACUCUGCCAAUAUAAACAUGUUUUUGAGAUUUUAAAAAAUAUAUUUUGUAAGCAUUUAUAAGUCAUUAAAUAUUUUUAGCAGAUAGAUCCUACAAAAAAAUUCUACAUGACAAGCCAUUUGUCUUUGAACAUUUGCCAUGAGGUAUGAUUGAAAAUACAGGUAUGUAUAAAAUGUAAAUAUUUGUAAACAUUAUGUAUCUGCAAAGUAUCAAACUUUUAGAAUGUUUUUAUACAUGUAAAAGACACUGUCAUUAACCCCUCUCCAAUCUUCAAACAUACUUCAGCUUCAAACAUAUUUAUCCAUUGUUCUUGACUCUUUCUGAAAUCCUUUUUCAGAGUAUCCUUAUAUUCUAUUGUUGGCUAAGUCGAUGUUCUCAGUCAAUUUCAAGCAUUUAUUGCAUUCAAUGUGAUGUAAUUUCAGGGAGCAAUCAGAGACUGCAGAGUUCCAGAUGUUUUUAUUUGAUACAAAUCUCUGCAAAUGUUUUGCAUUGAUUCAGGACAUCAAAGCAACCCAAAAAGAUACUCAUAAAGAAGGAUUUCCAGCACUGCUUCAGAAAGUGACAAGGAAGACUACGUAAGUAUGUUCCACAUCCAGGGGAUACUGAGGGUGAUGAGUGGCAAUGUGUCAUCCACUGUCAUAAUUGUCUCUCUUUUUUUUUCAAGUCCGUUUUAUUUAUUGGAAAAAAAAACCAAUAAAACAAAAUUUCAAAAUAUGUCAA